rnacentral:tRNA from 1 species
GGAGACGUGACCGAGAGGCCGAAGGUGCUCCCCUGCUAAGGGAGUAUGUGCCAAAAGCGCAUCGUGGGUUCGAAUCCCACCGUCUCCGCCA